AUGCUGCCAGAGGGAAGAAGUAGAACCCAGUUACAGGUAAUAAAGAAAUCCUGUGCCCUUGGGAACAGCCUUCACGGUGUCAGCUGUGACCUUGUACUAUUGAACCAGAGACCACCUCUCGUUACGGAACUUGAGAGCUACAAGAAAACACUGAGAAACCAGUGUUGCCUCAGCAAAUCUCCUGUGGUCCCAUUCAUCUCUGACCUAGUCUUACACACAGCAGCAUGGAAGAGUUUCAAGUACAAGUCCAAUCAUGAGAGGCGUCCCUGGAGAAGUUUCGAUGCCCCUGGAAGCCAAUGUGCUCACCGAGCGUCUGAGUGAAAGUCAAGCAGACAGAUUGAUAUUGAUUUCCCCCCAGAAAUUGUGUCAGGGGAUGAUCACUGACUCACCAAGAAACAAGAAGAAACUGCUUCCCCUUUGAUGAGUGUAAGGCCUUUUCAAGCUCAGAGCUUAGAAUGGUGCUGCUUAUUGGGGGAUAUCAUCUACUUUUGGGGGUACGGGAAAGACCUCCAUAUUUUGUAGAAAUAAAAUGAUUUCAAUUGGCUAUUUUUCUAGGCUAACAAAGCUGAAGUGCCAUUAUGGGGGGGUCAUGGAAGGAAAGAGGACCCACUCCCCGGCCCCCUGGCCGCUAGAGGACAGUCAUGUGACCAAGGCGCUCCCACCCUCUGACCUUGGGCGUGGGGUCAGCUGAGCACCCACGGCAGCAGCGGCCCCCGGGCUCCUGAGCCCAGCUGCGGCGGGUCUGGCCGCGAGGCAGGGGGACAGAGGGUCAUGCCCUGGAGCACGACGUGGGGUCCUGCUGCCCUGCCUGGUCUCCUCGCCUGGCGGAACAGCCGUCCCGUCAUCCUGUUGGCCAGCUACGCCCCCCGUUAAAGGCAGAGCCCACGCUGCUGUGCAGUCCUGACCCCCGAAUGGCCCAGGAAGCGAUCGCGGCAGUGUCCCAGCAGAUCAGACUUGAGCUCCCGUCCAGCAUCCGGGUGGCGGUGGGGCCCGGCAGGGCCCUAAGGACACACUGACCAGCUGAAGCCUGUGACUCACGGCAGUGUGGCCAGGGAAGACCCACGGCCCCUUGAGUGUCUGCAUCUUAGUGACGGGGAGGGUUUAUGGAAAAAUAUGCCAUAGUGUGAAGGCCACAAACCGUGG
rnacentral:lncRNA from 1 species